GAAGAGCCCAGUGUAGGGCUAUGCUGCCAGCGAGUGCUCAGUGAAGAAUAAUGGAUGGCCAUGCAUGCGUGGGAGUCGUGUGCUCAGGAUCUGCUCCCUUCUCCAAAGAAACAGAAUUGUCUUCAGGAUAUGGUUCGUAAACAUUUGAAAAUCCUUAGCGGGACUGCCGUGAGCUGUGGAAAAUGGCAAAGGAAAUUUGGCAUUGGGCGUGGUGAAUGAGGCCUCUCUGCCUCCAACCAGAAUGUAAACUCCAAAAGGAACCCUCACCAGCCCCGUUCUCCACCGGAGCCCUAGUGCUAUCCAGGUGCACAGUCCACACGCACCGAACGACGAAUCCGACCCUUCCUAACCACCCUGGGAUUUCACCUCCAAACGUGACCCGCCAAUAUCAUUAACUGGUAAAUGCAGAAUUUUAUUUUCACAAAUGCAGAGAUUUUUUUUAGAUCUAGUAGGGACAUAGACAUCAAUUACCUUUAUGUGCCUAGAAAAGAGAAGUAACUUGUACAAAGACAAAGGCCGGAACCAGAGCUAGGAUUAGGCUCUACCCACGGGUCCAAAGUUCUUGAAGCCAGCAGCCUCUCUUACUGCCCUCCCUCCUAAUGAAAAACAAAGUACAGGUGGUGAAGGGGUAACCGCACAGGUUUCAGAGUUCGAAACACAGAUUUUUUUUUUCUAGACUUUCCGGUAGCAUGGCUUCACCCUGCUGCACCUUACCUGCCUCCUCUACCAUGAGAAUACUCCAUCGGGCUAUGGAGAUUAAAUUAGAACACACAGAUCAGAGAAGACCCCUGCUGAUUAGCUUUUACUAACUGUCAAAAAAAUGCAGGCUUGGCCAUUCCUGUUAUAACUCUUAAGAUCAAAGAAAGAAUGGCCCCAAAAUGUAUUUUGCUGUUUUAUUCCAAAAAAUCUACAUUACAUAUACUUUAGUAGUUUUUAUAACAAUAAAGCAACAUCUAGUCUCCACAAAUGAAAAAAAGUUUAUAAAGUAGCAUUCAUUUAUGAAGUGAAUUUUCUUUUAAAUUAUCCUUUUUCAAAUCAAGCUGCUGAGUUGCUAUCAACAAUCAGUAAGUUGUCUGAUUUAUUUUUUAUUUUUUUUAUUUUUUUGCAGUAUGCGCUGAGAUUUCGUUUUGAAGGGGGCUGCUUAUUUCUGGAAUUGCAUCAGGCCCGUGGGGUUAACUGCCGUACACCCUUCCUGUCUACAUAAAGUAAAAUGUAAGUGGACAAGUUGGCGUCAUGCGUCUUAGGGCUUUUUCUCAGUGAAGUUGAUCCUAUAUGACAAUGACUGUGAUGAUCAUUUAGGAGUAAAGGCUUGUCAGUUUCCUCCGCCGUGGUGAUGAUUUAAGCAGGCAUGAGCCGGUGUUUCUACACCAGGCAGAAGUUCUCAUUUGCAAACGUGCUCCCCUCAGAGAUGUCACUGGACCUAAGGUGUCCUCACAAACAUCCCAACAUCGAGGCGCCAUUAUGUGUGUUUGGAAUAUCUUUAUGACACAGGAACCUUCAGACGGUAAAGUACAGAGUGAAGCUGAGGCCCAAGGCUUAAGAGGCAAACAUAAGGUUGAGUCAAAGGCUAAAAUGGAAAUGAAGCCAGAAGUUCUCUUAAACAACAAAUGCUAAAGAGACUUCCGUGUUUAAGUAAAUAGAUGUUUUAUGAGAAACACGAAACAGAACCUUGUGCUUUGGUAGUUCUUCAUAGAAAAACAAAAUAGCAUCAACAACACAAGUUGUUUGAAAACAGAGUGAUAAAACUGGAUAUAACCGAGAUCACAUACAUGACACCUCAAAAUGGAUGCGGAGAGAGCCAUACGUAGCAGCCGAAUCAGAGACGUGGCUGAACAGACGUGCACAGAACACUGGCUUGUGGAAUCUCAUGAUUCGGUGUUGCGUGUUUUACAAAUUGAGCACCAGACCCUCCAGCAGCGAAAAGAUUCCGACUCACUUUAUUACAAGACUUGACGUAUUUCACUGGUCUGGAACCAAACCGGCAAUAUCUUUGAGCAUGUUUGAUGAUUUCCCCCAAGGUCACAACGGAGACGUGGAAGGCAAGCUUUCUGGCUCGAGGUGCCAUGGGCCGUGUGACGGCGGCGCCCACAACUUUGGAAAGAGACCUGCAGCUAAAUUUGAAACGAUGGACAACUUGACCCCAAAAAGGCCUUGCUGCGAUCUGAAAUCCUGGUGGCUGUCUGAAGGGUGAGAUCAUCCAUGUCAACCACAUAGGACUAAUAAGCUUAGAAGAGCUGGCUGUUCCAGAAAUCACUGAGGAGAAUCACCAGAAGCCUCUAAGAAAUCUCUCUGUGGGUG